rnacentral:tRNA from 1 species
GAAAUACUAGUUAAAACAUAAUAAUGCUUUGUCAGAGCAUAGUUGCUAAGGUUAGCGUAUUUCU